GUGCCAGCAGCCGCGGUAAGACGAACCGUGCGAACGUUAUUCGGAAUCACUGGGCUUAAAGCGCGUGUAGGCGGGGCGGCACGUCUGUCGCUGAAAUCCCCCGGCUUAACCGGGGAACUGGCGGAGAUACGACCGCCCUGGAGGGGCGUAGGGGGACCUGGAACUUCCGGUGGAGCGGUGAAAUGCGUUGAGAUCGGAAGGAACGCCCGUGGCGAAAGCGAGGUCCUGGACGCCUACUGACGCUGAGACGCGAAAGCCAGGGGAGCGAACGGGAUUAGAUACCCCGGUAGUCC
rnacentral:rRNA from 1 species